CGCUCAGCACAGCCGUCUAUCGUUUGUGCGAAAGAAGGAUCUUUCGGAUGGCGUGUCCUGCCUCGAUCCCCUUGUCAACGAUGAGGUCACCGAGGCC
rnacentral:ribozyme from 1 species